rnacentral:tRNA from 1 species
CCCGCAGUAACUCAGACUGGCUAGAGUGCCCGGCUGUAGACCGGGACGUCCCUGGUUCAAAUCCGGGCUGCGGGACCA